rfam:Penicillium italicum strain PHI-1 contig2306, whole genome shotgun sequence.
CUCUUCAACCUGCUGUGGACAGAUAAAGUGAACAUGGGUGUCGAUGCCACCAGCAGUGACGAUUUUCCCCUCUGCGGCAAUGAUAUCCGUGUUGGAUCCAAUCACCAGAGCCGGAUUCACAUUAUCCAUCACAUCGGGAUUACCAGCCUUUCCAAUGCCCACAAUUACUCCGUCUUUCACUCCAAUGUCGGCUUUGAAGAUCCCACUCCAGUCAAUGACUACCGAAUUGACCAAAACUAGGUCGGCACACUCAUUGUCUGCACGCCCAGCAGCUUGUCCAAUUCCGUCGCGCAG